GGAGGACAUUUGGAGAACUUCCAGGGCUGCACCACUUUACAUUUUCACCAACAGUAUACAAGGAUUUCCUUUUCUCCACGUCUGUGAUUUGUCAUCCCUUGAUGUUUUGAAAGUAGCCAUUCUAACAGGUGUUUUAUGGUUUGAAGUCCUACUGAAAGAAGCUGAAGUUUUAAAACACAGUAAAAAGACGGCCAUCUGCAAACCGGGAAGCGAGCCCUUACCAGACAUCAAAACUGCAGGUGGAUCUGGCUAUUUUUGUUGCUGAAAUUGAAGAUGAAGAAACUUCCAUUCAACUUGUCAACAUGUAAUUGUGGAAAAUAGAAGGAUGUCUGUCUCUCAGGUUCCUGUGGUCCUCUUGUCAGAGAUAUGAGGAGUUCAAUUCUGCUCUCCAAAUAUUCACUCAUGUUUUGAAAAGUCAAGUGGAGGACAUAAUCAUCAUAGAAUACAAUAUUUGCU
ensembl:lncRNA